rnacentral:rRNA from 1 species
AGACGGAGGGCGCAAGCGUUGUUCGGAAUUACUGGGCGUAAAGGGCAGGUAGGUGGUCUGUUAAGUCUUCUGUGAAAAUCCGGGGCUCAACCCCGCGAAAUGCAGGUGAAACUGGCAGACUAGAGACCGGUAGAGGCUAGCGGAAUUCCUGGUGUAGCGGUGGAAUGCGUAGAUAUCAGGAAGAACACCUGUGGCGAAGGCGGCUAGCUGGGCCGGUUCUGACACUAAACUGCGAAAGCGUGGGGAGCAAACAGGAUUGGAAACCCCAGUAGUCC